rnacentral:rRNA from 1 species
GUACGGGGGCGGGAGCAGUGUUGGUGAAUUACUGGGCGUAAAGGGCUCGUAGGCGGCCAACUAAGUCAGACGUGAAAUCCCUCGGCUUAACCGGGGAACUGCGUCUGAUACUGGAUGGCUUGAGUUUGGGAGAGGGAUGCGGAAUUCCAGGUGUAGCGGUGAAAUGCGUAGAUAUCUGGAGGAACACCGGUGGCGAAGGCGGCAUCCUGGACCAACACUGACGCUGAGUGAGCGAAAGCCAGGGGAGCAAACGGG